ACCCCUGUGACGCAAUUGGCAGACGUGUCCGGCUUAAAACUGGAAUCUUUGCGAGUUCGAGUCUCGCCAGGGGUA
rnacentral:tRNA from 1 species